rnacentral:rRNA from 1 species
UACGAAGGGGGCUAGCGUUGCUCGGAAUUACUGGGCGUAAAGGGCGCGUAGGCGGAUAUCUAAGUUGGGGGUGAAAUCCCGGGGCUCAACCUCGGAAUUGCCUUCAAAACUGGAUAUCUUGAGUUCGGGAGAGGUGAGUGGAACUCCGAGUGUAGAGGUGAAAUUCGUAGACAUUCGGAAGAACACCAGUGGCGAAGGCGACUCACUGGCCCGAUACUGACGCUGAGGCGCGAAAGCGUGGGGAGCAAACAGG